rnacentral:lncRNA from 1 species
UAAACUCCUCAGAGUAACAUCUUCACCAUCCGGCGAAACAAAAACUUCAAGCGGUAACCACGGCUUGAAUCGCGCUGAUCGCGUAAUACUUCCAUCUCUGUCCGACAGAAAAAGCCUCCUCCAAUAUCGCACUAUUGGGGAAUACCUUUGAUUAAAACCACGAUGCUAAACUCCUCGGAGUAACACCUUCACCUUUGGGCAAAACCACUUCUCAAACAAUAACCACGACCUGAGAGUAGCUU